CCAUGGCAAUUAGUGUUUCCAAUACAUUUAAAGACUUGUCUUUUCUUACCUGCAACUGCAAAGACGAUGAAAAAAACCAAGAGCACAGAAAGGCAGAUUGACAUUGAGGUUUUAGCCAUCUUCUUCCUCAGUUUUUCAAUUAGUAAUUAAAAUUACAAUUGCAUGGCGCAACUUGUUCGAGUUUAAGGUGCUAUAUAUAUAUGCUUGACUUGCAAAGUGGGGAUCAGUUAGGGCAUCUGUACAAAUAUUGAGGUCCAGUCGUUCCACCGUGAGGGCAGGUAAGUUCGUUGGAUCUACGCGUCCAGAGCCGACGGACUUUUAGAUUCCGGCUACUCAUUUUAAAUCAUGCGGUUUUCAUUAGUUCAUCCCACUGAGCCAUCUUACACAAAUUAAGAGUUCAGAUCUCUCUGUCUUUUCAACGGCGUGAAUCUCUAAGUCCUUAGAUUCCAAACAAAGAUCCGGAGAGGAUCGGUUCAAUUUCAAGAGCUGCGGUCAUGUCUUUGGUCGUGUUGGGUUCCAAGGUCAUAGUUCAAGUUCAUGAUUUCCAUGGUAAUUUGGAACAGAUCAUCUAUAUCAAUAUUUGGGCAGUAUGGGCUUGAUGACCCAGAUCAUUUUCUAACACCCUUUUGUGAAUGGGCCAGGGUUAAUCCGUUGCCUGGAACUUGGGCUAGGCUGCUUGUAGUUGAGAGAGAGGAAUCUCUUCUUCCGAGACUUCUCCAUGCAAAUAUUUUUGGCACUUGUUUCAUUACAGUUGAAACUUUUAUUGCUUCGUGUCUCUUACUUUCACAGGAUUACAAAAUGUUAAAUCAUGAAAAGUUGAAAACACAUAUAAAAUACAUUGAUCUAUUGCCACUUA